GGGGCCGAAAGCAAAUUCCAGUUAGAGCUGACCCGUGUACCUUGUGGUCGGGCAACACCAUUUCAGUGUCCUUCUGAUAAGAGCAACCAUUCGUGCAUUGCAAAGGAGCACUUUUGUGACGGUGUGGCACAAUGUCCGGAGGGCGAAGACGAGAUCUGCAGUAUGGACUGCGGCCAUCAUAGUGGGAUUAUUGAUAGCAACGAGAACCUGCGCAUCUAUGGUGGUACACCGGUCCAGCCUAGUAGCUGGCCAUGGCAGGUGCAGGUUGACAGUCAGUAUUCAGCUUGCGGGGGAACCGUGAUAGCUCCGCGAUGGAUCCUCACGGCAGCGCAUUGUAUUUCUCAAUACGUAACGAAUCGUACGGCGUAUUUAGA